CCUACGGGUGGCAGCAGUGGGGAAUAUUGCACAAUGGGGGAAACCCUGAUGCAGCAACGCCGCGUGAGCGAUGAAGGCCUUCGGGUCGUAAAGCUCUGUCCUAAGGGAAGAAUACUGACGGUACCUUAGGAGGAAGCCCCGGCUAACUACGUGCCAGCAGCCGCGGUAAUACGUAGGGGGCGAGCGUUAUCCGGAAUUAUUGGGCGUAAAGGGUGCGUAGGCGGCCUUGUAAGUCAGGUGUGAAAGGCUACGGCUCAACCGUAGUUAGCACUUGAAACUGCAGGGCUUGAGUGCAGGAGAGGGGUGUGGAAUUCCAAGUGUAGCGGUGAAAUGCGGAGAUAUUGGGAGGAACACCAGUAGCGAAGGCGGCUCGCUGGACUGUAACUGACGCUGUGGCACUAAAGCGUGGGGAGCGAACAGGAUUAGAUGCCCUAGUAGUC
rnacentral:rRNA from 1 species